AUGUUUGCAGCAAAUUAUUAUUAAGUCUAAUUUAGUGUAUUUGGAGGUAAAUCAUUUAUAGCUUGUUAUUUCUGUGUGUAUGUUGGUGUUUGUUGUCAGGAGGGCAGAAAGCCCCCACUUCUAUAACGGUGACCCUUCGAGGAGCACAUCCGAGUAGAGUGGGAUCUGUCAGCCAAGCUGGUGGUGAAGCUGUGACUUCAGCUCGUACCCAUAACCCAAGCACUGAAAUCUCGGCUCACUGUGGGCAAAUCCCUGAUGCAAGAUGGUGAUGUGCAAAAGUACCUUUGGAGUCACAGCCUGACGAUGAGACUGCUCCCUCCCCAUAGUGACGAACGCACCGCCGCACAGUGUGCAGAAGACCAUGCCUCACAGAGGGCUCCCCUGUGGAGAUAAUGGGAAAAGGCCAGGCAGUCGCUUUCAGUCGCGACCAAGUCCGAGUCUGUGCUGGAUAGAACAGGCUCUGCUAACUUAGGGGAUGACGUUGUGCUACAGCCUGCACUCCUUUAUUACACCUUUGACUUUAAACUGACAGCAUGAUCACAUGUUCUUGGGAGAAAAUUAUAUGCUGAGGGUAAACUGUAAACUACCUGGAGUGUGGUGGUGCAGCCCAGGUAAAGCCUAUAAAAGGACAGCUGUGCAACUGUUCAUCCUGAUCAAAAACCUGCUGUGCAUCUCAGCAAACAUAAUGUUUGAAGUCCUUAGCCUACUCUCAGAAUAUAUUGAGUUCUAUCAUUGCUAUAUCCGUAUAUGUCCAUAUAGAUCCAAUAACAGUAAUCCAUAUAAUAAGUGUCUGUCAUAAUUGUUUCUUUUUAUGUAGCAAUAUAAUUUGAUGUAAUGUGCUUCUGAAAGGGAGACGUGUAUUGCGAUGCUUAGUUUGAGGUAUUUGCACUUGUAAAACUCCAAGCUUUUGUUGUACUCAUUUCCACCUGAACCUGUUCUAUAGCCUCAAACACUGGACCAGGGUACUACUUCCCAUCUGCACCGUCUCAUGACUUCACUGCACGCAGAGCUUUUGUUUGAAAUAAACAUAUUUAC
ensembl:lncRNA